rnacentral:tRNA from 1 species
UGGCUCAAUUGGUAAAGAAUCUGCCUGCAAUGCAGAGGACCCAGGUUCUAUCCCUGG